rnacentral:rRNA from 1 species
AUUGAACGCUGGCGGCAUGCUUUACACAUGCAAGUCGAACGGUAACAGGGAGCUUGCUCCGCUGACGAGUGGCGAACGGGUGAGUAAUGCAUCGGAACGUACCGUGUAAUGGGGGAUAACGUAGCGAAAGUUACGCUAAUACCGCAUACGCCCUGAGGGGGAAAGUGGGGGACCGCAAGGCCUCACGUUAUACGAGCGGCUGAUGUCGGAUUAGCUAGUUGGUGGGGUAAAGGCCUACCAAGGCGACGAUCCGUAGCGGGUCUGAGAGGAUGAUCCGCCACACUGGGACUGAGACACGGCCCAGACUCCUACGGGAGGCAGCAGUGGGGAAUUUUGGACAAUGGGGGCAACCCUGAUCCGAGCCAUGCCGCGUGAGUGAAGAAGGCCUGGUUGUAAG